rnacentral:lncRNA from 1 species
AGGACUCCAUGGCAUCAACACGUAGUUUCCAUGGCAAGCUUACUCUGCUCAAAUUAUGUUUGUUACAUAGAAGAAACAUGCAUAGAAAAAAAAGUCCACAACAGAUAACUAAAACAUUGGUUGUUAUCAACUGUGAUCACCAACCUCACAACGAUGCUAUGAAUUCUCAUACUCAGUGUAAUAUAUCGCAUCUGACGAAAAGUGGCUUUGGACUUCUUCCAGCCUACCACUUCAUCAUGUACUACCUAUUCAAAAUAGCAAGAGUGUAUAGUAAGAAACUGGACAAGAACCAUCCCCUGGAAGCUCCUGUUCUACCCCAGCAAGAACAGACACAUCUUCUGCGACCGUACGUAGGUACGAAAGCGCCGGCAAAGCACACCAAGGCACCAGGCUUGCAAAACAGGUAUAACGGUCGAAAUAAGAGCAGACAUCCCGCUCACACGCAACCACCAAAUAUAAGCAUAAAACGGAAGUCACACGAGACUGAAAAAUAAGACGACCCCUGGAUAGAUCCGGAACAGAGAGACGGUCAGUCAAUCAACAACCAUGACAACAUGCACAAAAAGAUAAAUAUAUCUUGAGCCACAGAUAACGCACAUGCAUUGGAAAAGGAGAGCAAAUCUUGAGCAUCAGCAGCAGGUUGCAGAUGCAGAAACAGAACAGUUCUUCCAACCUACAGAAUGCACAUGGACAGAACCAUAAGAACAUAGUAGGCAUAAUAAUGUAGGCAUAGAGCGCAUCUAGUCCAUCAACCGCCAAAAAUACAUAUGGAAGUCCAUUUAGUAAACGCAGAGCAGCGUGAUGGCAUCGGAAUAAUUCUUUUUACCAAAGGAAAUAACAUUGCUCAUUAUAUUAAGACACUAUAUUCCCAAUUCCUCUGCCUCCUGAACUGGGACUGCACACAAUUAACAACAAUAUCUGACAUAGAGGUUGAUAAAGCUUAUUAUACUGUCUAGACUGUACUGUUUGAUUCCACACCCGCGACUAAGAUCAACUUCUUUAUUAAAAUGUUGCUUUCUCAGGUGGAUCAUCUAGAGCCUAAAGAGGAAAGUAUGCUGAAGGUCCCUAGUUAUAGCAGUCAUGUGCAGUUUGUUCUGUUGAAAUCCUUUGCCUAUCCUCUUGAAGAAGGGUUUGACGAGAUUACUGUCGCAACAACAAGAACUGAAACAAUGCUUGGCGAUAAAAACAUAGCCGUUCAUCCUGAGGAUAAAAGGUAUAAGCAUCACCAUGGAAAGCAUGGCAUUCACCCGUUCAAUGGCUGAAAACUCAAAAUAAUCCGCGAUGCUGUUAGUGGAACCCACUUUUGGUACUGAAGACGACAAGCAAGCGAUAUUAAACUUCUCUAUCCAUGAAGCAUAGCAACAUACACAUAAUAAUGGCUUGGGAUAAUGAAUAGAAAACCCCAGAAGCUAAAACAAAUAGUAGAAUUUCAUAUGGAAUACCAUAGGCAUCAAAUUGCAAUAUUCACCUUAAAUCCAAAAUGGGCAGCUGAAUUUAAGUACGAAACAAGAAGUGGAAACAGUGCCCAGCGUAGCUGAACUGAAGAAGGACCUCAUCUACAAUCCAAUAAUAAAUUCCUAACAUGACGGCAUGAAAGACCCCGCCACAAGAACUCACGUCUGCUGGGGGAGUGAUAAAGGAAAUAUAUCUGCAAAAAAAAGACUAACUGGGCAGCACCAAAUCCUGUUUCCAUGAAGCUAUAAAAACACAAGAACUCAUGUCUGCUGGUAGUGUUAUAAAGGAAAUAUGUGAAUAUGUACAUGUAAGGUUGCCUCAUUUCUGAAAACACAAAUCCACCCUAACUGAAAGCACAUGAAUAAAAUGCAGAUUCUCUCUUCUUUGAAGAUGUUACAUGACUCGGCAUCUUCCUUUAGGAAAGGACAAUAGUAGAGAAUCAAUAGUGCAAUCAAGAUCUGUAGGUAAACAAAGAAAGAAUUUUGGUCACCACAAACCUCAUUUAGCCUCGUUGUGAUCUCUUAUCUUCCUCAUGUUUACAUCAAUCACAAACAGGAGCAUCAAAAUGAGAUAACAAAGCUUAACAGGAGGGAGAAAAAUCAC